rnacentral:rRNA from 1 species
UACAGAGGGUGCGAGCGUUUGUUCGGAAUUAUUGGGCGUAAAGGGCGCGUAGGCGGUGCGGUAAGUCACCUGUGAAAUCUCCUGGCUCAACUGGGAGCUUGCAGGCGAAACUGCCGUGCUGGAGUGUGGGAGAGGUGCGUGGAAUUUCUGGUGUAGCGGUGAAAUGCGUAGAUAUCAGGAGGAACACCUGUGGCGAAAGCGGCGCACUGGACCACAACUGACGCUGAGGCGCGAAAGCUAGGGGAGCAAACAGG